UCCAGACUGGAACAUGGUUUUUAUAUAAUAAAGAGCUGACAGCUGGAGCUGGGGUAGGAAGUGUGGGGGCGGGACCUCUGGCCAGACAGAGAUGCAGCCAGAGACACCGAUUGAGACACAGGAAGAGCAGGUAAGAGACAGACACAGAGACUUUAAGGAGGCAGAUGGAGCUGGAAGCAGGCAGUGACAGCCACAGGGAGAGAGGCAAUGGCAGGCCCAAGGGUAGCGCCCCUUUGGGACCCUGAAUAACUGGGUCCCCGCUGGCGGGGACAAGUGGCGCCCGAACACAGGGACCCCGAAGUACGGCCAACUACCAGACGACGGAGACAGGAGAUCUGCGGAGAAAUUGAGGACUCUCAGGCUGCAUCGCUCGUGCAUCACUGGAGAGGGAGGAUGCUACAAGAGUAUGCCAGCUGCCAGAGGUGGUUGCUGAGACUUGCUGAUCCUGGGAGCAUGAAGAAUCAGCUCUCCUGGUUCGGGUCCCUGGAGUCAUUCCUGUGUCCUUGGAGGAAUAUGGAGGAUUCCCACUCAUCUUUUGUCAUCACAGAAAUUCUGGCAUUGCUGCAGUCAUUGUGUCCCGUCCCACCGCGGCCUGCGCUCCGACCCUCUGUGCACUGCUGCUUGCUGGAAGCUGCUGUGGACUGGGGAACUCUGCCCUGGUUCUGCAGAUCUCAGACAUGGUUCCCUUGUCUGCUGGUUGUUCCAGAGAUCCUGAAGUGUCCUGGGAAAGACCUUGGCACUUUCGCUGCUAUUGUAGCAGCCAUUACUGCUGCAGCCAUUGUGUCUGUAGUGUCUGGAGUUACCCUCCCCCCAUUCUAUUGUUAAGCAAGCACAGUGGGUGAACUUUCUGGAGUAGUUGCUAACAAUUGGGAAUUCUAAAUUUUAUUACAGGAGAGGCUUGACUAGGCACUUGGUGGUAGCAGCUGAGGAGAACCAGAGAGAUAACGAACCAGAUGAGGUGCCCACUACUUAUCGGGAGAGGCUCAAUUUCCACAAUCUCUUAUAUUAAUGCCAUCUGGCUUCUACUCUUUCGCCCCUGGGCUCAAGUAAGAGGAAUGAGAAGAUGAUCCAAUGUAGCUAUCCUCAGGGAUGGGCAACUUCCUCUGACCCUUGACCAAUCUAAGACAUGGUGCCUUGGGGGUGACAAGGUGAUCCUAUGACAGAUAAGGCUGGGGUUCGAGAGGUCGAUCCUAAGACAGAGGUGGCUACACCCCGUUUAAAUGUACGGGCCGGUCAAAUGCUCCUCUGCCCAGUUUCUCCCCCAAAUAACACACACGUAUAGCCCAGAAUGGUGUGUUACAGCAUAAGUUCAUUCCUAGCCAUUGGGGUGCAGUCCUAACUGCAAGAGUGGCUUGCCAUGGCCGAGCUGGGCACUCUGUGAGGCAUGUCUGAUCUCUCUCAGACCACUACUUCCACCUAAUGGUCUUUUAUAAAAGAAAAAUGGGGGAGAUGCACGGAGCCAUAUUGGAUUUGGGCCUAGCCGCUUUUUGACUGCAUGGUUCAAAGUGAUUCUGGGCUGUUUGGCCACAGAGACUCACCUCUAAGAUGACUGCCAUAAGUCUUAAGAUUGUUGGACAAAGCCUCUCCCAUGAAUUUACGGCACAGGAAGAUAACAUUCAAGGGAUGCCUCAGCUCGAGCAGAUACCAGUGAUCUCCUCAGUCAACACCCAGUGUCUCCACCACCUGACCUCAUCGCCUGACCUCUUUGCCUCCAUCUAUCACUGCCUAUAUACCCUCAUCUCCCCCCUCCUUCAUAUUUCACAAAGGUCACUCCCCCUACCUGAAAGCCCUAAAAGCUGUAACGUUCAUCUCAAUAAAUGAGACCUUGACAACAGAA